rnacentral:tRNA from 1 species
UAACCAAAAACAAUAAACAAUUUUAGUUUCGACCUAAAUUUAAAUAAAUCACUUAUAAUUGUUA